rnacentral:rRNA from 1 species
ACGCUCGACACCUACGGAGGCAGCAGUUAGGAAUAUUGGGCAAUGGAGGAAACUCUGACCCAGCAACGCCGCGUGAAGGAAGAAGGUUUUCGGAUUGUAAACUUCUGAUCUAGGGGAAGAAGGAAGUGACGGUACCCUAGGAGAAAGCCACGGCUAACUACGUGCCAGCACGCCGAGUAUCUGNGGCGGCGUGAGAG